rnacentral:rRNA from 1 species
AACAAACGCUGGCGGCGUGCCUAAUACAUGCAAGUCGAGCGAAUCGAUGGGAGCUUGCUCCCUGAGAUUAGCGGCGGACGGGUGAGUAACACGUGGGUAACCUGCCUGUAAGACUGGGAUAACUUCGGGAAACCGGAGCUAAUACCGGAUACUUUCUUUUCUCGCAUGAGGGAAGAUGGAAAGAUUGUUCUGCUAUCACUUACAGAUGGACCCGCCGCGCAUUAGCUAGUUGGUGAGGUAACGGCUCACCAAGGCAACGAUGCGUAGCCGACCUGAGAGGGUGAUCGGCCACACUGGGACUGAGACACGGCCCAGACUCCUACGGGAGGCAGCAGUAGGGAAUCUUCCGCAAUGGACGAAAGUCUGACGGAGCAACGCCGCGUGAGCGAAGAAGGCCUUCGGGUCGUAAAGCUCUGUUGUUAGGGAAGAACAAGUACGAGAGUAACUGCUCGUACCUUGACGGUACCUAACCAGAAAGCCACGGCUAACUACGUGCCAGCCGCCGCCGUAACAC